GACGAACCGAGCGAACGUUGUUCGGAAUCACUGGGCUUAAAGGGCGCGUAGGCGGGUGCUCAAGUCCGGGGUGAAAUCCUCCAGCUCAACUGGAGAACUGCCUCGGAUACUGGGCGUCUCGAGUGUGGUAGGGGUAUGCGGAACUAUCGGUGGAGCGGUGAAAUGCGUUGAUAUCGAUAGGAACUCCGGUGGCGAAGGCGGCAUACUGGACCGCCACUGACGCUGAUGCGCGAAAGCCAGGGGAGCAAGCGGG
rnacentral:rRNA from 1 species